rnacentral:rRNA from 1 species
UACGAAGGGUGCAAGCGUUACUCGGAAUUACUGGGCGUAAAGCGUGCGCAGGCGGCUUUGCAAGACAGAUGUGAAAGUCCCCGGGCUUAACCUGGGAACUGCAUUUGUGACUGCAUGGCUGGAGUGCGGCAGAGGGGGAUGGAAUUCCGCGUGUAGCAGUGAAAUGCGUAGAUAUGCGGAGGAACACCGAUGGCGAAGGCAAUCCCCUGGGCCUGCACUGACGCUCAUGCACGAAAGCGUGGGGAGCAAACAGG